UACGAAGGGGCCUAGCGUUGUUCGGAUUUACUGGGCGUAAAGCGCACGUAGGCGGAUCUUUAAGUCAGAGGUGAAGUCCCAAGGCUCAACCUUGGAACUGCCUUUGAUACUGAGAAGCUUGAGUCCGGGAGAGGUGAGUGGAACUGCGAGUGUAGAGGUGAAAUUCGUAGAUAUUCGCAAGAACACCAGUGGCGAAGGCGGCUCACUGGCCCGGUACUGACGCUGAGGUGCGAAAGCGUGGGGAGCAAACAGG
rnacentral:rRNA from 1 species